rnacentral:rRNA from 1 species
CAGCAGCCGCGGUAAUACGUAGGGGGCAAGCGUUGUCCGGAAUUAUUGGGCGUAAAGCGCGCGCAGGCGGUUUUAUAAGUCUGGUGUGAAAGCCCACGGCUCAACCGUGGAGGGUCACUGGAAACUGUAAGACUUGAGUAUAGGAGAGGAAAGUGGAAUUCCAUGUGUAGCGGUGAAAUGCGUAGAUAUAUGGAGGAACACCAGUGGCGAAGGCGACUUUCUGGCCUAUAACUGACGCUGAGGCGCGAAAGCGUGGGGAGCAAACAGGAUUAGAUACCCUGGUAGUCCACGCCGUAAACGAUGAGUGCUAGGUGUUAGGGGUUUCGAUGCCCUUAGUGCCGCAGCAAACGCAAUAAGCACUCCGCCUGGGGAGUACGGCCGCAAGGCUGAAACUCAAAGGAAUUGACGGGGGCCCGCACAAGCAGUGGAGCAUGUGGUUUAAUUCGAAGCAACGCGAAGAACCUUACCAAGGCUUGACAUCCCAUUGACCGGUAUAGAGAUAUACCUUUUCUUCGGAACAAUGGUGACAGGUGGUGCAUGGCC